AAGGCUUUCAAUCCAAUGAUAAGAGAUCAAGGCAAUGAUUCUUAUACCACACCACACAUGGACCAGUAUAGUAUAACACAGUACACUCAGUAUCUACUUGCAGUUCUGUGAUAAAAGCACAAAAGAGAAACAUGUUUAAUAACUAUCAUAAGGUUCCAAGAGCUUUGACAAGUCUAUCACAAAAAGUUGGAAUUCACUUUCUCAAAUUCAUGUGCAUAGAAUCAAAUAAGCACGAUCAAGAUUCACAGACAGGCUACUCAAGUAAUCUGCCACUCAUGAUGGUAAAACAGAUUUCCUAAAACUGUGUAAGAUACUUGACAUUUUAAAAGUGUUUAUGAAUAAUAUCUCUUUAAAAUGUCCUGCUCAAAAAAUUAUCUAAUGCUGGUGCAUCAUAUAGUUAACGUAUCUCGUAAAAGUCCUAACUGUGAAACUUAUGCAACUAACAUAUUCAAGUCAAACAGAAGUGGAAGGUGAUCAACUCAGCUGAAAUUCAAGUUGCUAGAUAUCCUACAAGAAACAUAUUGCAUUGGAGGAGAAUCACAAUUCAAGAAGUAUUGAAGUUGGUGGGGAGGAGUGGGUGGAGAUAAUUUCAGGUGACCAUAGGAUGGUGCAGCUUGUCUGAUACAUGAAUUUUUAUCUUAACUAGUAUCUGUGCCCCUAAUUUAUUCGAUAAGGUAUCGUACUAUUACCAAAACGUACACAAAGAAUUUAUUUGAAAUUUCUACUUUGCCAUCAUGAACAACUGUGGUUUUUCGUUGUGGCGAUGUGAGGUGAGGCCAAACUGAACCAGUUGCAGCAACGAACUCCCAUCAGUCAUGAUGUCCACUCACCAAAACAUUACAAGACACGAGCUUCAUUCUUCAA
rnacentral:lncRNA from 1 species